CGCAGGCACCAUUGUCCCUCACCGACGUGCUAAAAUUAUCCGAUUAUGGCAAUAUUAAAAUGUCGGUCGGCUUGAUAUAGUAACAAUUAAAUUGUUAAUCUCAAGUUAUGGGAGCGUGCAAGAGAAAAGCCAUUAGCGUGGCCGUUGACGUGCCGUUCUAUGCUUGGCAAAUGUGGACUCUACUAACCAUGAUCGGCUUUGCUAUAAGUUUGGCAUUGUUUUAUUAUAUUUAUAUAUAUAAAUCAUAAGCCUUCGAGCUGACGGCACCGCGCAAUUAAAUCUACUCAAACUUACGAAGAAGUGCGGAACGACUAAGUAAAUCAGAAUACUUAAACGAGCAAUUACCAUAAUGAAGAAGUUAUUCAAGGAAAUCUUUAACUUCACGUUAACGUAAGCAAAAAAGAACACAUUAAAAAGAUAAUAAAGACAUACGUUGUUUUGUAAUGAGAAAAUUUGCUGGAAACAGGGAUCGUUCUUUAGUAAACUAGCAAGCGGUAGAGCGCGUAAAGUAAAUCUGAGCUUCGAAUGCAGACGCAGCACCGGUUGACAUAACUGCCGUGUAAACGGAACUUCAAUUUACGUUGGGAUUAAACAUUAACCGCUUAAGGCGGUAGGAAAUCUUAUGCUUUCAUACUGUGCACCUCCCCGCCGCGCCAUUUCUCCGUGGCUUAAGACUGUCUCGAAGUCCGUUUCGUGUAUUUCGAUUUCUGCGGAUUUAUACGGAUGUACAAGAACAUGUAUAAAUCCGGAUUAUGCCUGCAAUAAUCUUUAUUAUACUCAACAGAAAAGCCUGUUAAAAAUACAUUUAUCUAAAACUCAAUAUAGAAAAUAAGCAUGUGUGUACACGUAUCGAUUAAUGU